GAUGAACGCUGGCGGCGUGCCUAAUACAUGCAAGUCGAGCGAACAGACGAGGAGCUUGCUCCUCUGACGUUAGCGGCGGACGGGUGAGUAACACGUGGAUAACCUACCUAUAAGACUGGGAUAACUUCGGGAAACCGGAGCUAAUACCGGAUAAUAUAUUGAACCGCAUGGUUCAAUAGUGAAAGACGGUUUUGCUGUCACUUAUAGAUGGAUCCGCGCCGCAUUAGCUAGUUGGUAAGGUAACGGCUUACCAAGGCAACGAUGCGUAGCCGACCUGAGAGGGUGAUCGGCCACACUGGAACUGCAACACGGUCCAGACUCCUACGGGAGGCAGCAGUAGGGAAUCUUCCGCAAUGGGCGAAAGCCUGACGGAGCAACGCCGCGUGAGUGAUGAAGGUCUUCUGAUCGUAAAACUCUGUUAUUAGGGAAGAACAAAUGUGUAAGUAACUAUGCACGUCUUGACGGUACCUAAUCAGAAAGCCACGGCUAACUACGUG
rnacentral:rRNA from 1 species